rnacentral:siRNA from 1 species
UUGUUAUCAAAUGGUGCGGUG